rnacentral:rRNA from 1 species
CCUACGGGAGGCAGCAGUGAGGAAUAUUGGUCAAUGGACGAGAGUCUGAACCAGCCAAGUAGCGUGAAGGAUGACUGCCCUAUGGGUUGUAAACUUCUUUUAUAUGGGAAUAAAAUGUUCCACGUGUGGGAUUUUGUAUGUACCAUAUGAAUAAGGAUCGGCUAACUCCGUGCCAGCAGCCGCGGUAAUACGGAGGAUCCGAGCGUUAUCCGGAUUUAUUGGGUUUAAAGGGAGCGUAGGUGGAUUGUUAAGUCAGUUGUGAAAGUUUGCGGCUCAACCGUAGAAUUGCAGUUGAAACUGGCAGUCUUGAGUAGAGUAGAGGUGGGCGGAAUUCGUGGUGUAGCGGUGAAAUGCUUAGAUAUCACGAAGAACUCCGAUUGCGAAGGCAGUUCACUGGACUGCAACUGACACUGAGGCUCGAAAGUGUGGGUAUCAAACAGGAUUAGAUACCCCUGUAGUC